rnacentral:misc_RNA from 1 species
AAUAUCCUGUUUGUUGUUGUG